rnacentral:lncRNA from 1 species
GCCGACUCUUGAAAAAGAACAGGCCCCAAAUCCUCCAACGUGAGUUUCAUGGCAUUCAUUUGGGUUUUUCCAGAUGGUAUUUUCCUCACUCUCUCAAAUUUAUUUAAUGUUAUGUAUCAGCUACCAUCAAAAAUGUUCCAAACAGUCCGGUUAAUUCAUGUCUUUCAGGACUCAACAAUACCCUUUACACACUAUUACUCCACAUCCCCAACCCCCAACACACACAAUCUAGGCUCACACACAAAACAGCCAUUAUGAAGAGAAACCAUCAACUAAAGACUGGUUUUAGGCAACUAACUGCAUAGGAGGUUUC